rnacentral:lncRNA from 1 species
AAAUAGCAGGAAUGGGGUGCAAAGAAUGAACAGAAUACUAAGGCCCAGUCCAGAAUAGGCCUCUUUACCAAACAAAAAAACAAGAAAAAAACGCAGGAUCAAUCACGACCGUCUGAUGGAUCAGACGGCUCUGAUCUAAAAGUAAAAAGACAAGAUCUAAGCCAUGUGAUUGAAAUCAGAGGCUGAGAGGAGAAGGUGUAGGGUGUGCUGCAAUGGACAUGUGCACACCGGAUCGGGUUGGGGUAUAAAUACCCUCAAACCCUAAAAAAUUCAUAAAACUCUCUCUUCUCCUUCUCUCUCGGUCGGUUCUGUUCUGACCUUCUACAACCCAUUUUCAAAAUUUUUUACAUCAAACAAACAUAGAUUCACAUCCUAAACUCAUAUACAAAUUCGAAAUCGAAAAAACAAACCCUAUAAUCUGGAUCGAGAGUAAAGGGGAAAGUAAAAACAACCUUUUAGUUUUCAAAUCCGAUUUGGUUUCUUCGUUUCUACUGGUUCGUAUUGAUUUCCCACUUCCACUUUCUUCCUCUUCUUUCUUCUUAAUUUUGUUCGAUUUUUAAUUGCUUUUUAUGGUUUGAUUUUUGAUCUGUGAUGGUUUGGGUUGUUGAUGGUUGUGUUGGUUCGGUUUCGUUUUGGUUCGGAUGGAUGAUGAUGUUGUCACGGUGAUGGUUUAAAAUUGUUGUGGGUUUCGGAUUUGAUUGUUGUUGGUGAUGAUGGUGAUGAUGAACAGCGAUGAUGAUAUAUAUUUUUUUUGAUUUUUUUGUUCUGUUUUGAUUUUGAUUUUUGAUUGAAGAAGAUGAAUCUGUUGUUUGUUUUUUUCCUGCGGCUGAAUUUUUUUUGACCUAGGGGACUGUGCAAUUAAUGCACUAUUUAUAAUGGUGUCAGGAGUUAGGGUUUGCAGAUGAAAUUUUCCCAUUUGGACAAAAAUGCCCCUUUGGGCCUGGACCAGGAUAAAAACAAAUGGACCUCAAAAAGAAUUUGCAAAAAAAAUACUACAAAUAAAAUAAAUAAUAAUAAAAAGAAUAAAGUUAAAAUAAAUAUAUAUAAAAUAACAAUAAAAACGAAAAUGAUAUAAAUACUUAAAUAAAUAAAAUAAUUAAUAAUAAUAAAAAACGUAAAAAUAAAAGUAAAAAAUAAAAAAAAUAAAAAAAAUAAAAAAAAUAAUAAAAAGAAAAAAAAGAAAAUAAAACCUCAUAAAUGAGGUAUUUUAAAAUACUUCUCUGUCGAAAUUUCGUCAGAGACGUACAAAGAAAAAAAUUCGUCUAAAAAGACGUAAAAAAACGAUUGGUCAAAAAA